UGAGUUACAAUUGCACACCCUCUCUUCGAAACUUGAUCUUUAUUUUUCUCCUUCUUAAACCGUAAACCCUAACUCGUUCAGAUAUGGCUCUCUUCAUUGUGAACUCCGCCACCACAGCACUCCGAAGAACAUCGAAGAACCCCAGCACUCCGCGAAGAACGUCGCCGGCGCUCGCAAUGCUGCAAGACUGUACAAGACUGUACUAUAACUAUGUCUUGAGGAGUUCGUUAUGGUGUUAGAGCUGCACUUGGUUCUAGAAUAACUAACAAUUGUAUGGUUGUAACUGGUAUCAGACAGUUGCUUACAUUGAAGCCUCUGCAUUCAUCUAUCAGGGUCGAAAGAUUCUAAUUGAGGUUGAUCAUCUACGAGAUGUCCCUGGCCCAUAUAUAUUCAGAUCAAGGGUGUUAAUAAAGAUGCAGUGGCAGCAGCGGUUCAAUGCUUGAAUUGGAUGGCUCAUAUACAACUAAGGUUCAACUUGUUUUAUUUUAGUUCCUUUUCCCCUUUUGUGCAUAAUGCUGGGGCCUGAAUAUAUCUGGAUGGUGGUCAACUUACUAUUAUUCUUGUUCAUUAUUUUGGUUGAGUUAUCUUGAAAUCAUUUUAGAAAGACUACCAACAAUAGAAAGAAAUUCUGGUGGGAUUAACUCUCAGCAAUCAGCAAGGCUGCUCGAGAUGAUUGAAUUUAUUCAAUCUCAGGUAUACCUAUCCUCUUUGGCUAGAUAUUAGUGUAUCCUUUUGGGGCACCAUUUAAUAUUAGCCAUUUAUGUUACCCAUUUUCUUUGUGCAUACAUUGUAUAAACCUCGUACCUGAAAUGCAGCAACUUGUGGAAUUCAGAUUUUAAAGUUCGGUAUUUCAUGGUAGAGACUAGUCUGGUUUUUCAUUUAUAGUAGUUGUAUUGGAUUCACACAUAUUUCAAUUGAUGAAGAUUGACAUAUGCCUUGAAGUAAUUUAGUUUAUCAGUGCACCAAUUGUUGUCCCAUACCAAUUGGAUUCUUGUCCCAUACCAAGUAAUUAUGCAGUUUUUUCUUUCAAAAAGUAAUUUCCAAAAAGCUAAAGCUCUGUGCCUGCUCUACCACUAGUACAAGUAAUUUUCAUGUUAGCAUUAAGAAGGAUUUAAGCUAUAUAUUUUUAGAUGGAAUGUAGCUCAAUAGGCUAUUAUUUUAGGCUAUCUUACUCAAAUUUUCAGAUUUAUGCUAUAUAUUUUUAGAUGGAAUGUAGCUCAAUAGGUUCAGGUAGCGCGAGAUCAAACAGAACUAUUUUAUUUUUCUCACUUUGUGACCUGUUUUUACUGUUUGGUUUACAGUAGUUCUGAUUAGACUACAUUAUUAUUAUUAUCAUUAUUAUUAUUUGAAAAUUUGUUCAUGUUUUUCUUUUGUUGAUUAGUGUUCUUAAUGUUUAGUGUUUAUUGGAUAACAAGAAAAUAGAGAGAGAGAGAGAGAAAGAGAGAGACUUGAGUCAUUGCCAUUGAUCAAACCUUCCCCAUUUCUUACUCUUUGAGCUUCCUGGCAAAAUUUCUAUGCUUCCAUUUUCAUUUUCCAUAUUCUCUCUUUUCACCAUUUUCAUACUCUCUUUCUUCCUGCCAUUGAACUUUGUAUCUUCUGAAUCUUCACUCUUUGAAACCAGAAACUGAAGUGUGAGAUCUGAUUGUUGUAAAAAGAAGCUUCUUUGGUUCUUCUACUGUGCUUUCUAGAAUGUUCUAUUUUUCUGGGGUGUGUUUGUUUUUGGAGAUUCCAACAUUGCAGGCCUUGUUCUGCUGCAAUUCAUUGUGUACAUCGUUUUGUUUUGUCUCAAAGUCUCAAACUUUGAUAUCAUAAUAAUCUUCUUUCACCAACUAAACCAUAACCUUAUUAUUACUCUUGCUGUCUCUUACUCAUAAAAGUUUCAAUUUUUAUUUUUUAUUUUUUAUCCCAUCAUUGUUUUUUGCUUUGUUAUUCCACUGCCUUAUUAAAUUACAUGGUCUUUGAGCUCUUUUCUGUGGGAACCUUUUCUGGGGUUUAGUAUCUCUUGCUAGUUGCUGCCGCUUCCUUUAUAUAAUAAUUGUUAUUUUAUUCUAUUUUUGCUUGUUAAAUAUCUUGCUCAAAUAAUAAGUAUUGCUUGCUGGUAGCUUAUUGAUCAAGUGACUAUGGGUAUUAUUUGAGGUUCCAUUUGACUAUCUUUGGCGUUCCUGCAUUAGUGUGUUUUAGUGAUUUCAUUGAUAUAAAACAUGUUUGAAGCCUUAGCUUGACUCUUUCAAUAUCUACAUACACUAUUUAAGAUAUUUGUUUAGGUAUAAAAAAAUAUACUUAUUUUACAAAGAAAAUAUCUAAUUUUAUGACCCACAAUUCAAUUGAAUAUCUUGUAUAGUGAAGGCAUGGUCCAAGGCGUUUGCCCAUUGAAGAUAUAUACCCUCCUAAGGCUGAAACAGUCGCUUCUUCAUCUUAACAAUUAUUCUGAACCUAAAAAAAUAUGUAAUGUAGAAGAAAAGGAGCAAGGAAAGGUUUGGCGAUCCCUACAAACUAGUCAACUCUUUCAAUCAAUGAAUGAACAUUUUUUUACUAUCGUUAUUAAUUUUUUUUUCUUCUGUUGGUAGUCUGAUGCUUUUUACAAGUUCCCAUGGUACUGAGAUUCCAAUCAAUGAUGAGAAUUUUUUAUAUUAUCUUAUGACUGAUUAAUAAUGUUUUAAUUUUUCUGGUUGUGUACUAUUGAAUUUUCUGGUUGUGUACUGUUGAUACAUGGCAAAAUGAUAAAUAUAGUGAAUACGUGGUUUUCAAUAUAUGCCCUCUCAUUUUUUGGUAAAAUAUAAGAUGGACUAACACAAUAAUAUUAUUAUGCAGGGCAGUGGUGAAAAUAAUUUUGCUCAUAAUGGACGAUUAGUGGUCAUGAAGUUUCAUAUUUUGUAAUGAAGAAUAUGUAAUGUGUAGAUAAUGUAAUAAUUGUUAGAAUUGUAAUUCAUGAAUUUCUUCAUGGGUAGUUGUUAUAACUUUGAUUUUUGGUAUUUGGUUAGAACAUGUCAUGUGAUUAAAUAUACUUUUUUCUGUGACAACUUUAUGAAGGUUAGAUUAAUUUAUUUAA